rnacentral:lncRNA from 1 species
AUGAAUUCCCACCCCAAAAUUUGCAAUUCUACCUCAAAAUUCUCAAUUCCCACCCCAAAAUCCUCAAUCCCCACCCCAAAAUUCUCAAUUCUUGCCACAAAAUCCUCAAUUUCUCAAAAUUCUCAAUUCCCACCCAAAAAUUCUCAAUUCCUACUCCAAAAUUCUCAAUUUCGCCCCAAAAUUUUAAUUUUCUCCCCAAAAUUCUCAAUUCCCGCCCCCAAAUCCCUUCUAUUCCCCCCCAAAAUUCCUUUUUUAGCCCCAAAUCCUUCAUUUCUCCCUCAAAACCCCACCCAAAUUAUCCUUUCACUCCAAUUCCCACCCCAAAUUCUCCUUUUCUUCCCUCAAAUCCUUUUCAAAAUCCCAAAUUCUCCUUUUCUUCCCCCAAAUCCUUCCCAGAACCCAAAAUUCUCCUUUUCUUCCCCCAAAUCCUUUUCAGAACCCAAAAUCCCAAAUUCUAACCCCAAAUUUUCCUUUUCUUGCCCGAAAUCCUUUCCAGAACCCCAAAUUCUCCUUUUCUUCCCCAAAUCCCCUCCCUGCACCCCAAAUUUCCCUUUUCUUUCCCCAAACCCCUCCCAGAACCCAAAAUCCCAAAUUCUAACCCCAAAUUUUCCUUUUCUUCCCUCAAAUCCUUCCCAGAACCCCAAAUUCUCCUUUUCUUCCCCAAAUCCCCUCCCAAAACCCCAAAUUCUCUUUUUCUUCCCCAAAUCCCCUCCCUGCACCCCAAAUUUUCCUUUUCUUCCCCCAAACCCUUUCGAGAACCCCAAAUUUUCCUUUUCUUUCCCCAAAUCCUCUCCCCGCACCCCAAACCCCCCCGAUCUCCCCCAAAUCCUCCUUUUCUUCCCCCAAACCCUUUCCAGAACCCCAAAUUUUCCUUUUCUUCCCCCAAACCCCUCCCAGAACCCCAAAUCCUCCUUUUCUACCCCCAAAUCCUUUCGAGAACCCCAAAUUUUCCUUUUCUUCCCCCAAACCCUUUCCAGAACCCCAAAUUUUCCUUUUCUUCCCCCAAACCCUUUCCAGAACCCCAAAUUCUCCUUUUCUUCCCCCAAAUCCCCUCCCCGCACCCCAAACCCCCCCGAUUUCCCCCAAAUCCUCCUUUUCUCCCCCCAAACCCUUUUGAGAACCCCAAAUCCUCCUUUAAUUCCCCCAAACCCUUCCCAGAACCCCAAAUUUUCCUUUUCUUCCCCCAAAUCCCCUCCCCGCACCCCAAAUCCUCUCCCCGCACCCCAAACCCCCCCGAUCUCCCCCAAAUCCUCCUUUUAUUCCCCCAAACCCUUCCCAGAACCCCAAAUUUUCCUUUUCUUCCCCCAAAUCCCCUCCCCGCACCCCAAAUGCUCCUUUUCUUCCCCCAAAUCCCCUCCCCGCACCCCAAAUCCUCUCCCCGCACCCCAAACCCCCCCCGAUCUCCCCCAAAUCCUCCUUUUCUCCCCCCAAACCCUUUCCAGAACCCCAAAUUUUCCUUUUCUUCCCCCCAAUCCCCUCCCAGAACCCCAAAUCCUCCUUUUCUUCCCCCAAACCCUUUCGAGAACCCCAAAUUUUCCUUUUAUUCCCCCAAAUCCCCUCCCUGCACCCCAAAUCCUCCUUUUCUUCCCCCAAACCCUUUCCAGAACCCCAAAUCCCCUCCAUGAACCCCAAAUCUCCUCAAUCGCCCCCAAAUUCUCAUUUUCUUCUCCCAAAUCCCCUCAAACUCCCCCAAAUCCUCUCCCCGCACCCCAAAUUUUCCUUUUCUUCCCCCAAAUCCUUUCCAGAACCCAAAAUCCCAAAUUCUAACCCCAAAUUCUCCUUUUCUUCCCCAAAUCCCCUCCCAGAACCCCAAAUCCUCCUUUUCUUCCCCCAAAUCCUUUUCAGAACCCCAAAUUUUCCUUUUCUUCCCCAAAAUCCCCUCCCUGCAUCCCAAAUUUUCAUUUUCUUUCCCCAAAUCCUCUUCAGAACCCAAAAUCCCAAAUUCUAACCCCAAAUUUUCCUUUUCUUCCCCAAAUCCUUUUCAGAAUCCCAAAUUCUCAUUUUCUUCCCCCAAAUCCCCUCCCAGAACCCCAAAUUUUCCUUUUAUUCCCCCCAAUCCCCUCCCCACACCCCAAAUCCCCUCAA